GCCUGUUUUACAUUCCUCGGCUGGGAAGGCAGAGUCAGGGUUUUUACACUAAAGGAAGAUCCUUCCUUUCUCAUUGUGACCAUGUCUUUUUCAGAAUGUUUACAAUCAAUGAUCAUACCAGUAGUAAAGAGCAGAAAGUAUAAUCGGGUGUUAUUAGGGCACAUGUACGAGUAUAAUUACGGACUAGGACUUGCAAUCAACCCAGCAAACUGUGUUAUGUCAAUCAUACAUGAAUGUCUCAGAAUAAUAGCAAAAAAACAAAAUGUAACAACAGCUGGAAAUAGCGGAGGGUCAUUUUGGAACAGCAGUGGCCUAGUCGAAAGAUUUUAAACAUUCUUUUCAUUAAAG